CCCAAAUCAGUAACCCAAUUCCCCUUUCCCUUUUCCUUCCUUCUUCUUCGAGCAAUCAACAACACCAUCAACAUCUUCAUCACCUUCCUCCUUCUGAAAUUUCGAGUGCCUUCAAGCUAGAUUAAUCAUCUUCUCGUUAAUUCAACUGGUCCUUUCGUGUUCCCUUCUCUCUGUGCAGCAAAAUCAGUGGCGGCUUUCACCGAACACGAACACCGCUUCUCACGGUGGUUCUACAACCAUUACCGGUGUUCCUUCUUCUUGUAAUUGUUGGUGUAAAAAAACUAAGGAGGCGACUUUAUCGAAGAGCCCUUCUAAUAAUCGCGGGGUAGCAGACUUAGCCUCUUGAAGCGUUCUUUUGCUAAUUAUAGAUCGGAUCCGGUCGGGAAUAAUCGGGUUAGCAAAGUUGGAGAGAGUGCUAAGGAUGUCCUUUUGAGCUGAGGCCGUGGAAGCUUAUAGUCUGUAUUAGGAAUUUGUUUAAUGUAUAUUAAUUCUGAUUAGUUCUGAUUAUGUUGAAUAUAAUGGACUCGUAGUGAGUUGUAUGGUUAGUUUAUGUUUAGAUUAGAUAUUUGGUUUGAGAGUUAACUUUGUUGGUUUCGUAAUAGAGCUGGUGAUUCCUUUGCCCAGAUUUUGGGAUAUGAUUUAAGUUUCUUGGGAAAUAAUCCCCGUGACGACUCUGUUUACCUAGUCAACGAUAAGUCGGGUUGUUACAGGUGCAGUAUUAUUAUUAUUAUUAUUAUUGCCGUUGUAAUUAUUAUUAUUAUUAUUAUUAUUAUUAUUAUUUGUAGGAAUGCUAAUAGAUGAUCGAAUGCAACAAGAGGGGGGGUGAAUUGUUGUGUAUUAGGUUUAAGAUUUUUGCCUCUAAUUUUUGCGGAAUUGUAUCAAGUAAAGAACAAACUUAAACUCAAAAACAAAAAGAAAAAUAAUAAAAGGAGACAAAGAUUUUACGUGGAAACCUUCUUGGCCUAACAAGAAGGAAAACCACGACCCCCCGGGAUUUCAAAAUUCUCACUAUGUUUUAGGCAAUCAAUUACAAUUACAUAAAACAAAUAAGCUUCACUUGAAGCUUCUCUACUCUAGGCCUAUUUCUAUUCUUUUCUUUUCUCCUUCUCUUUCUCUUCUCACGCUUCUCUUGAAGCUUCUCUAUUCCCCUAGACUUCCCUUAAGUCUAAUUACAACAAAAACACUCAAUUACCCUUACAAGGCCAAUUCUUAAGAAGAUUAAAAUUAAGUAGUUGCUCAAGAAAAAUACAAUGAAUUAAUUGGCAAAUUCAUGAACAAAAUAUUUUUCUUAUUUUGAUCUCACCUUAAGGACACUCUUAGAUGGAUAUCGGUUGAGCGUAGCUUCCCUCGUUUAUAAAGGGAACAGCCAUCAGUGCACUUAACCCACGAUUUCCAUGUAGUGCACUCAUCCCACGACUUUCAUUUACUUACUUGCUCCCAAAGAAAAUUGGAAAGUUGUUGAAAGUAGAGGUGGAAAAUGACUGCGGUUUUCUUGUACGGUUAAUAGUACAUGAGUCACUAGGAAGAUCCUAAAUUAUAGGAGACUUGUUCAAAGUAGAGAAUAAAUCUCUUGGGUGUCCGAAUUUAUAGGAGAUUAAUUCAAAGUGAGGAAUAAGUCUUCUCCAUAUUUUUAGGCGUUUAAAAAAACUUUUUGCCAAUUAAUAAAUUAAUUUAAUUAAGCAACUAAUUAAACUUUUAACCUUUUACAUUAACUAAAAACAGAAAACGUAAUUUUCGUAACUUCCAGUCAAUGUCUUCUUCAGACCUUUAUCGUGGGGAACAGCGCACUGUCUCCAUCUACAACUUUCGUCAGGACUUUAACUCUAGGAACAGUAAACUGACUUCUAAAGCAAUUGUCCAACUUCUUGGAUAUUUGAGACAUGUACAACUUCCACGAACCAAGUCAUAGGCUUCUUCAACGAUUAACAAAAUCGGAUAUUCACCUACAAAACAAUCUCUAAAACAUGUUUGUUUAUUUAGAAGUGAAGUAAUCAUCAAAACCUAAGAGGCCAACAAAUUCCCCCUUUUUGAUGAAAACAAACUUUAGAAACAAACGUAAGUAAAAUAGAGUAAAGCGAAAUUCUUAGAGUGUACUAGAGAUUAAAGUAACUCCAAAUAACUUAGUAAAUUAACGUGUUACAAUAUAAUUUACCAAGCACUCAUAGUAGAACAAUUUACUCCAUACAAAAACAUAACAUAAAUAAUUAAACUAACACAAAAAUAGUUUAAACUAACACAAAUUAACAAAUAAUAUGAUAAAAUUAAAAAAAUUAAACAACAAUUAAACUUAACAGCGCAGAUCAACUUAGAUAAUGAUAUUUUAAGCCCUUAGCAGAUCAUAGUAUGCAAUAAUUUCCAUUAAAGAGCAAUAUAAAUCAAUCUAUCAAGAUAUGGAGACUGUGUAUUCACAACUUCUCUUAAGUUUGUGCAUCUCUUCCCCCUUUUGUCAUCAAUCAAAAAGAAUUGGGGGCAUCUAACCUCAGCACAAACCAUAUAAAUUUGUCAGUGAUGAAACCAAGAAGCAACAAAUGAAAGUAAGUUCCAUGAAAAGCAAUUCAAAUCUGCAUAGAGUUAAGCAUCACAGACCAUGAAAAUAAAAGCAAGAAAAGAAAAUGUAGUAAUUGUUCAACAAACAGAUACAAUGUUGUACCCCAGAUGGUACAACAACAGAAAGAGAAAUUGUUUGAUAAGUGUCACAUCCAACAAAUCAUUAAAAUUUUGAGGAGAGGGAUCAAGGGGCGGUCUCUUCUUCAUCAAUGUAUUCGGUCUGCACUUCAACAGUGUCCAACUUUGCACCAUGACGGUUUUCCAUCAGGGUAAGUUGAUCAACAAUUGAGGCAAGAGAGACGCGAAUUUCAUCUUGAAAGGCAGUGAAUUGAGACUGUAGAUCAAGGAGCUUGGAGAGAAUGGAAUUUGAAGAAGCUGCAGGAAUAGAGUCAAAGUUAGUACAACCAAUGUUAGGUGAAGUGUGUGAUUGUGGUGGUGGUGUAAACUGGAUAGGUGAUUGUGGUGGUGAUGGUAUUUGAUGUUGUGGUAGAGUGGCUGGCUUGGGAGAGGAAGGUUCAUUAGGUGUUGGCUCAGGUAUGGUGUCAGAUGUAGUUUCAUCAACCACAGUAGCCUUGCAUUUCGAGGCCAACCUCCUACUCUUCCUUUGUAUUGACUUAGCCUUUUUCCUCAUAGCCAACACAAUCUCUUCAUCACUGGAAUCACUGCAGAGAUUGUGAGGAACAUUAUCAUCCAAGGCUUCUUUCUGUUCUUCCUUUUCCCCCUUACUUGCAGCUCCGUCCUGUUCCCCUUUUUCAGUUGUUUCAAUAUUUUCAGAGGGAACAGAAUCUUGUUCCUUUUCUUUCUUAUUCUCCUUGUUCUCCUUUUCCUCUUCAACUUCUUCAGCUCCUUCUUCUUCAGAUCCAACUUAUACAACCUCCUCAUGCAUUAAUAUCCCCUCAUCAUUCAAUUUUAAAUGCAAAUUUUGUAAACAUUUCGCACCAAUUUUCAUAUUGGGACCCAUUGGGAACUCCAACCCUUCCAAUGGGACCUCAAAUUUUCUAAAAAUCCAGGUUAGCAACCCUCCAUAACCAAUGAAACUUUUCUUUUCAAUGCAGUCUGAUAAAUGAGAGAUCAUCAAUGAAAGAAAAUUUAUUUUAAUAUGUUUUUCCAUGUAGUAAAUUAAAGUGGCGUCACACAAACUCACUUGACUACGUUUUGAGUUUCGUGGUAAAAUGAAUCUGCGAGCAACAUUGUACAACAAUUUAUGCAUGGGAGACAAAACAUUGUGACUGAUCUUCCCCUUCUUUUGAUCAACCCCUAAAAAUUUUAGAAUUGUUCGUUCAUUGAUGCCAGAAAAUGCAAUCUUCGACCCAAUAUAAUAUGUAUCAAAACCAACAUUGGGAACAUUAAACCAUUCCCCCAAUA